CGGUGACAAACCGGAGGAAGUGGGGAUGACGUCAAGUCAUCAUGGCCCUUACGGCCUGGGCUACACACGUGCUACAAUGGUCGGUACAAAGGGUUGCCAAGCCGCGAGGUGGAGCUAAUCCCAUAAAACCGAUCGUAGUCCGGAUCGCAGUCUGCAACUCGACUGCGUGAAGUCGGAAUCGCUAGUAAUCGUGAAUCAGAAUGUCACGGUGAAUACGUUCCCGGGCCUU
rnacentral:rRNA from 1 species